rnacentral:miRNA from 1 species
AGGCUGUCUGUGAUGAGUUCG